AGACCCGAAACCCGGUGAUCUAGCCAUGGGCAGGUUGAAGGUUGGGUAACACUAACUGGAGGACCGAACCGACUAAUGUUGAAAAAUUAGCGGAUGACCUGUGGCUGGGGGUGAAAGGCCAAUCAAACCGGGAGAUAGCUGGUUCUCCCCGAAAGCUAUUUAGGUAGCGCCUCGUGAAUUCAUCUCCGGGGGUAGAGCACUGUUUCGGCUAGGGGGCCAUCCCGGCUUACCAACCCGAUGCAAACUGCGAAUACCGGAGAAUGUUAUCACGGGAGACACACGGCGGGUGCUAACGUCCGUCGUGAAGAGGGAAACAACCCAGACCGCCAGCUAAGGUCCCAAAGUCAUGGUUAAGUGGGAAACGAUGUGGGAAGGCCCAGACAGCCAGGAUGUUGGCUUAGAAGCAGCCAUCAUUUAAAGAAAGCGUAAUAGCUCACUGGUCGAGUCGGCCUGCGCGGAAGAUGUAACGGGGCUAAACCAUGCACCGAAGCUGCGGCAGCGACGCUGAUGCGUUGUUGGGUAGGGGAGCGUUCUGUAAGCCUGUGAAGGUGUGUCGUGAGGCAUGCUGGAGGUAUCAGAAG
rnacentral:rRNA from 1 species